GGGCUCUCCUAGGGCUUGCUUGUUUUGAAAACUAUGCAAGAAGUAUUCAAACUACUUAGGGCCUU
rnacentral:tRNA from 2 species